rnacentral:rRNA from 1 species
GAUGAACGCUAGCGGCAGGGCUUAAUACAUGCAAGUCGAGGGGCAGCAUGACUGUAGCAAUACAGUUGAUGGCGACCGGCAAACGGGGUGCGGAACACGUACAGAACCUUCCUUCGAGCGGGGAAUAGCCCAGAGAAAUUUGGAUUAAUACCCCAUAGUACAUUGGAGUGGCAUCACUUUAAUGUUAAAGAUUUAUCACUUGAAGAUGGCUGUGCGGCUGAUUAGGUAGUUGGCGGGGUAACGGCCCACCAAGCCUGCGAUCAGUAACUGGUGUGAGAGCACGACCAGUCACACGGGCACUGAGACACGGGCCCGACUCCUACGGGAGGCAGCAGUAAGGAAUAUUGGUCAAUGGACGAAAGUCUGAACCAGCCAUGCCGCGUGGAGGAUGAAGGUCCUCUGGAUUGUAAACUUCUUUUAUAUGGGACGAAAAAAGGCUUUUACUAAGUCGUCUGACGGUACCAUAUGAAUAAGCACCGGCUAACUCCGUGCC